CUUUGUGCUGGGAGCCCUGCCCCAAGCGGGAACUAUGCUGAUGCCUGCUCAAGUUGUUCUCUGGGUAUGCUGGCUUCUUGCCCUGCCUGACAGCUGCAGGAGUUCUGUAAGAAAUCCGAGGGAGAAUUUCCUUUGCAGCCAUGACUGAGAACCCAGGAUCAAGAGCUUUGCAGACAGAAAAGACAUUACCCUUCAAAUAUCCCAAGUCAUCUAUUAGAGUCAACAAGCAGCCGGCAAAAAGCAGGACAGCUGGCUGUCCAGCCCUGGUUGGAGAAAAUGUGUUCCACUGAGAACUAGCCAGUUGAAUUUUUCUUUACUGACUGAGAGUGAAUGAGCAGAGGCAUUUUAAAGGUGUGUUGCAUGUGAAGAGCUCUAGGCCGUGUCCUGAGCUUGGUGUUCUGGAUACUCCUCCUCAUACCGUUUCAUCCCCAACAGUCAACACACAUUUUCACUUCUCCAUUUUGUGUAACUGAUGGUGCUCCUGGUUAAAGUCUUCCAAAGGAUUCCUACUGCAUUUUAAUAUAAUUUAAAUUUCUUAUAGUGGCCUACAAGGACCAAUAGGUUCUGGCCCCUGCCUAGUCUCCAGUUUUGUCUCUGUAUGUUUUCUUUCAAUACGUAGAUUCAGAUCUUCUCUUAUUUCUAGGUAUUUUUCUUGGACUAUAAUUUUAAAGAUUAGUUCUGUUUUAACGCUUUGUUUUUAUUCAUCAUGGACUCUCAAUUAUCCAUAUGUUGGACCUUCUAUGCCUGUCUCCUUUAUUUACUGCUCUGAAUCAACUAUAAAUAAGUGGAUAUCACUUCAACUCAAGCAUGUACUGAGUGUGUAAUAGUAUGCUAAUAUGUACCUCAGUCAGAGACACAAAAACCAAAAACCAAAAAAAGAGUUAAAUAUGUUGUAUUUUGUUUUCUAUGAGCUGUUAAUCUAUAUAUGCAGGCAACUCACAGAGAAAAAAUAGCUUGAUAAGAAG